rnacentral:rRNA from 1 species
UACGAAGGGGGCUAGCGUUGCUCGGAAUGACUGGGCGUAAAGGGCGCGUAGGCGGCAUACACAGUCAGAUGUGAAAUUCCUGGGCUCAACCUGGGGACUGCAUUUGAUACGUGUAAGCUAGAGUGGAGAAGAGGGUCGUGGAAUUUCCAGUGUAGAGGUGAGAUUCGUAGAUAUUGGAAAGAACACCGGUGGCGAAGGCGGCGACCUGGUCUUUAACUGACGCUGAGGCGCGAAAGCGUGGGGAGCAAACAGGGAUUAGGUACCCUGGUAGUCCACGCUGUAAACGAUGUGUGCUGGAUGUUGGGAAACUUAGUUUUUCAGUGUCGUAGCUAACGCGAUAAGCACACCGCCUGGGGAGUACGGCCGCAAGGUUGAAACUCA